GAUGAACGCUGGCGGCGUGCCUAAUACAUGCAAGUCGAGCGAACAGACGAGGAGCUUGCUCCCCUGCCGUUAGCGGCGGACGGGUGAGUAACACGUGGAUAACCUACCUAUAAGACUGGGAUAACUUCGGGAAACCGGAGCUAAUACCGGAUAAUAUAUUGAACCGCAUGGUUCAAUAGUGAAAGACGGUUUUGCUGUCACUUAUAGAUGGAUCCGCGCCGCAUUAGCUAGUUGGUAAGGUAACGGCUUACCAAGGCAACGAUGCGUAGCCGACCUGAGAGGGUGAUCGGCCACACUGGAACUGAGACACGGUCCAGACUCCUACGGGAGGCAGCAGUAGGGAAUCUUCCGCAAUGGGCGAAAGCCUGACGGAGCAACGCCGCGUGAGUGAUGAAGGUCUUCGGAUCGUAAAACUCUGUUAUUAGGGAAGAACAAAUGUGUAAGUAACUAUGCACGUCUUGACGGUACCUAAUCAGAAAGCCACGGCUAACUACGUG
rnacentral:rRNA from 1 species